GAGACUUGUAUGUUCAGUCUAAGACGUCAUAUAUUUGUGUACAGAGGAAGUAGUUAGUAAUAAGGUCGAGUGCUUCUUCCAUGCAUGACAUAAUACUGAGCUGUAAAUAAUGCUUCUUCUCAAGAUGCAGUCUCAUGAUCUGCUUGAUGUUUCCCAGGGAUGACCAAAUUGGUAGCGUGAGGAUCCCAGUUACUCACAGAGGCGGGCAAUGGCAUGUACAGGGCUGAGCAGCACCGCUAGGCUCCAAGGGACUCAUUCAACCAACAUCUUCCUUCUGCACAACCACUGCAAGCGAAAUAUGAGCUCAAGUUGCUACCCAACUCAUACAGAUUUAAACCCAAUUGAUCAGUCAAAACGAAAAGUACAAUCAUCCGAGCAUGAGGUAUAGAGUAGAGCACCACGAAAUCCUAGGUUACCUCUUCCAGCCGUCGUAUACGAGCCCCUUUCCAUCCUCCCGCGCACUCUUCUUCGGCACCCCAAGGCCGCUGCCGCUUUGGUCACCUCCCUCACCUCUCUGGCUCCCCUUACAACCUAAGCGGAUGACGGUGAGGAAAGGAAAUAGAAAUCGAAUCUAUUCAACCUAUUGUAAACUCACUAUAAAAGUAUAAAAGAACAUAUGCCUUGUCUGGAAAUUGCAACUAUAAUUAUUAAAAUAAAUUUUCACGUACAUAAACUAAUCAGACCAUUAGGCAGUUCAUUUUGAGUGAACAGAACACCCUCCUUAAGCGAUUAACAGUUUCUCAUGAUAUCUAUGGUAUAAUAGAAUAAACAAACCAAAGAAAAGCUAUAUAUGAUUACUAAAAAUUGUUGUUUGCUAUCAAGAAAAGUGAUGGUGUUGCAUCAAGAUGAUCUAAAUGUAAAUCAAAUG
rnacentral:lncRNA from 1 species